UAGAGAAUAGUAAAUAUGAUCUGGUCACUACAGAGAGUAACACCAGGGUAUAUCAAGAAUGUCGGGUGUAAACCAGUGAUUCCCAGCUAUUUUUGACGGAACUUCUGGAAACCAUUCAUUCAGCUCAACCUUCUAUGACACAUCAGUUGCUCCUAUUACUCUGGCAGCACAGCCCCAUUACAGACACAACAGACUCUCAUGCCCCCUCCUAUACUGCUAUAUGAGAUAAUGUUUGGCCAAAUACAUCACUAUGAACAUUGUGCGAUCAAAGAUAAUGAGAGUAGAGAGAAAGCAUUAAAUGAAUUCUAUGCCAAGCAUCUCUGAAUGGGCCGUACAUCAGAUUUCUGGCUGUAUUUCUCUUUGCAGAGAAAAGUGGUGCAGUUUACCUAAUAAGAUCACCUUGCAAUCUACAAUCUACCCUCACAAACAGCAGCAGCAUGGAGGACAUUAGAGAGAAGUACUGAGCAGCGUAAGACUACAAAAACUCACAAUGGCCGAGAAUAAAUAAAGUCUAGUGAAGGACAAUGAGGAGCAAAGAACGUUCUGUGAAAUCCAUUUAUUUCCAACAAGAUCAGAGAAAACCCAGUAAUAAUAUAAGUUCCAAGUUCAAAAGACCAGGCAGCUCUGUGCUCUACAU